CCUAUUGUCAAGUGUUACUGCGAAGAUGGAUAGACAGUCCGCGCUUACGCUCAAUGAAUUUGCCAAGGAACUCAUGACAUUCAACAGUGUUGACAUGUCUGGACGCAACUUUGGAGAUGAAAGAUUGGUCUUUCUUGUUAAGAGCUUAGGUUACAAUCAGGUUAUUGAUAAAUUUUGAUGCUAA